UUCCGGUUGCUUUAUUGGUGCUGAAUGGUGAUUUAGACACACUUGAUCAUGUUAUGAGAGCAAUAUACAGUGAUAUAUCCGUAGUGGUUGUCAAAGGAACUGGCGGAGCUGCUGACCUGAUUGCUUUAUGCCUGGAAGAGUAAUUUGUUAACGUUCAACUGUCUUAUUACAUUAUCAAAUCCGACAGACAAUAUUUAUGAAAAAGGAAAGACCGCAAGUAUUUCAAUGACACUGACAAGGACGUGUUUAUAUUAUAUAUACAAAUCAAAAAUCUUAAAACACAUUUCGAAAUGAGGCUUUCACACUAUAAAGAACAGAUUAGAAAUUGCAUGACGUGUUAUCCAACUCUAUUGUUUAUCAUUUUAAUGAAGAAAUUAGAACUCGUUUUAUAUAAAACAAUCUUCACAUUAUACAUUCAUUUUAGUUAUGACGUCUGAAACUCUAAGCAAGUAUUAUUAUUAUUUCAAAACAAAUGAUCAAAUUUAAAUUUAUGUACUAUGUUUGCAUUAAAUGUCAAAAUUCAAUGCUUGUACCAUUGAUGAUAUUUGUAGCUUUUCAAAACUAAAGAAGGAAUUACCAAUAUUGAUAACAAGACGUUUCACGAAAGGGCAUUUUAACAAAAUACUGGAAGUCUUCAAAAUGAUCAUUGCAAAGGAUUGGAUGAUUUCAGUAUUUGACAUCAAAGUUGACGAACAUGAUAGUCUAUGGGAAAGAAUAACAGACGGAAUAAUAAGAGCAUGGUCUUUUGAAGAAAAACUUGAUGAGGAAAUUAUGAUGACAGAAUAUCUUUCUUUGAACUGUGGAGAGUAUAUCUCAAAUUAUGUUGCGAACAUUGAUGGUCUUACCAGGAGAGAACUGUUUGCUGGCUACAGUUUGAAUGAGGCAGAUGGACAGGAAAACAUA